GUGAGUAGUUCAGAGUUUGAUCCUGGCUCAGGAUUAACGCUGGCGGCGUGCAUAACACAUUCAAGUCGAACGGUUGUAGCAAUACAACAGUGGCGGACGGGUGAGUAACGCGUGAGCAAUCUACCUUCCAGUGCGGAAUAACAACCGGAAACAGUUACUAAUACCGCAUGAAACAGCAGCACCGCAUGGUGCAACUGUCAAAGGCUUGCUGCUGGAAGAUGAGCUUGCGUCCGAUUAGGUAGUUGGUGAGAUAGAAGCCCACCAAGCCGACGAUCGGUAGCCGGACUGAGAGGUUGAACGGCCACAUUGGAACUGAGAUACGGUCCAG
rnacentral:rRNA from 1 species